GAUGGACGCUGGCUACAGGCUUAACACAUGCAAGUCGAGGGGAAACGACGGGGAAGCUUGCUUCCUUGGGCGUCGACCGGCGCACGGGUGAGUAACGCGUAUCCAACCUGCCUCUGACUGAGGGAUAACCCGUCGAAAGUCGGCCUAAUACCUCAUGGCAUCGUCUGCGGGCAUCCAACGACGAUUAAAGAUUUCAUCGGUCAGGGAUGGGGAUGCGUCUGAUUAGCUUGUUGGCGGGGUAACGGCCCACCAAGGCGACGAUCAGUAGGGGUUCUGAGAGGAAGGUCUCCCACAUUGGAACUGAGACACGGUCCAAACUCCUACGGGAGGCAGCAGUGAGGAAUAUUGGUCAAUGGGCGAGAGCCUGAACCAGCCAAGUAGCGUGCAGGAUGACGGGCCCUAUGGGUUGUAAACUGCUUUUAUGCGGGGAUAAAAUGAGG
rnacentral:rRNA from 1 species